rnacentral:piRNA from 1 species
UCCACAGCCAGCUCUCCACACGACUC